UAACAUUUUAGAAGAUUUCACAAAACCUUUAUCACUUAGCUUUCGACUUUUCGGCAAUAUAUUAGCGGAUGAAUUAGUAGUUGUUGUUCUUGUUUCUUUAGUACCUUUAGUGGUUCCUAUACCUGUCAUGUUCCUUGGAUUAUUUACAAGUGGUAUUCAAGCUCUUAUUUUUGCAACUUUAGCUGCGGCUUAUAUAGGCGAAUCCAUGGAGGGGCA
rnacentral:misc_RNA from 1 species